AUUGAACGCUGGCGGCAGGCCUAACACAUGCAAGUCGAGCGAGCGGCGGACGGGUGAGUAAUGUUUGGGAAACUGCCUGAAGGAGGGGGAUAACUACUGGAAACGGUAGCUAAUCCCGCAUACCAUCAGAUGUGUGCAGAUGGGAUUCGCUAGUAGGUGGGGUAAUGGCUCACCUAGGCGACGCUCCCUAGCUGGUCUGAGAGGAUGACCACCCACACUGGAACUGAGACACGGUCCAGACUCCUACGGGAGGCAGCAGUGGGGAAUAUUGCACAAUGGGCGCAAGCCUGAUGCAGCCAUGCCGCGUGUAUGAAGAAGGCCUUCGGGUUGUAAAGUACUUUCAGCGGGGAGGCGUUACCCGCAGAAGAAGCACCGGCUAACUCCGUGCCAGCAGCCGCGGUAAUAC
rnacentral:rRNA from 1 species